UACAUGGGGUGCAAACGUUGCUCGGAAUUAUUGGGCGUAAAGCGCACGUAGGCGGUCCGUUAAGUCAGAUGUGAAAGCCCCCGGCUCAACCGGGGAAGUGCAUCUGAAACUGGCGGGCUAGAGUACGAAAGAGGGUCGCGGAAUUCCCGGUGUAGAGGUGAAAUUCGUAGAUAUCAGGAGGAACUCCGGUGGCGAAGGCGGCAUCCUGGACCGGUAUUGACGCUGAGGCGCGAAAGCCAGGGGAGCAAACGGG
rnacentral:rRNA from 1 species